UACGUAGGGGGCAAGCGUUGUCCGGAAUCAUUGGGCGGUAAAGAAGCGUGUGAGGCGGUUUGGUAGGUCUCGCGUUAAAUCCCGCAGCUCAACUGCGGACGUGCGCGGGGAACCACCUCACUAGAGUCCGGAAGAGGAGAGUGGAAUUCCAGGUGUAGCGGUGAAAUGCGCAGAUAUCUGGAGGAACACCAGUGGCGAAGGCGGCUCGCUAAACCAUAACUGACGCUGAGGCACGAAAGCGUGGGGAGCAAACAGG
rnacentral:rRNA from 1 species